GAUGAAGAACGCAGCGAAAUGCGAUACGUAAUGUGAAUUGCAAAUUCAGUGAAUCAUCGAGUCUUUGAACGCACAUUGCGCCCCCUGGUAUUCCGGGGGGCAUGCCUGUCCGAGCGUCAUUGCUGCCCUCAAGCACGGCUUGUGUGUUGGGCCCCGUCCUCCGAUCCCGGGGGACGGGCCCGAAAGGCAGCGGCGGCACCGCGUCCGGUCCUCGAGCGUAUGGGGCUUUGUCACCCGCUCUGUAGGCCCGGCCGGCGCUUGCCGAUCAACCCAAAUUUUUAUCCAGGUUGACCUCGGAUCAGGUAGGAUUACCCGCUGAACUUAAGCAUAUCAAUAAGCGGAGGA
rnacentral:misc_RNA from 1 species